rnacentral:rRNA from 1 species
CGCUUAGGCGUGUGACUGCGUACCUUUUGUAUAAUGGGUCAGCGACUUAUAUUCUGUAGCAAGGUUAACCGAAUAGGGGAGCCGAAGGGAAACCGAGUCUUAACUGGGCGUUAAGUUGCAGGGUAUAGACCCGAAACCCGGUGAUCUAGCCAUGGGCAGGUUGAAGGUUGGGUAACACUAACUGGAGGACCGAACCGACUAAUGUUGAAAAAUUAGCGGAUGACUUGUGGCUGGGGGUGAAAGGCCAAUCAAACCGGGAGAUAGCUGGUUCUCCCCGAAAGCUAUUUAGGUAGCGCCUCGUGAAUUCAUCUCCGGGGGUAGAGCACUGUUUCGGCAAGGGGGUCAUCCCGACUUACCAACCCGAUGCAAACUGCGAAUACCGGAGAAUGUUAUCACGGGAGACACACGGCGGGUGCUAACGUCCGUCGUGAAGAGGGAAACAACCCAGACCGCCAGCUAAGGUCCCAAAGUCAUGGUUAAGUGGGAAACGAUGUGGGAAGGCCCAGACAGCCAGGAUGUUGGCUUAGAAGCAGCCAUCAUUUAAAGAAAGCGUAAUAGCUCACUGGUCGAGUCGGCCUGCGCGGAAGAUGUAACGGGGCUAAACCAUGCACCGAAGCUGCGGCAGCGACGCUUAUGCGUUGUUGGGUAGGGGAGCGUUCUGUAAGCCUGUGAAGGUGUGCUGUGAGGCAUGCUGGAGGUAUCAGAAGUGCGAAUGCUGACAUAAGUAACGAUAAAGCGGGUGAAAAGCCCGCUCGCCGGAAGACCAAGGGUUCCUGUCCAACGUUAAUCGGGGCAGGGUGAGUCGACCCCUAAGGCGAGGCCGAAAGGCGUAGUCGAUGGGAAACAGGUUAAUAUUCCUGUACUUGGUGUUACUGCGAAGGGGGGACGGAGAAGGCUAUGUUGGCCGGGCGACGGUUGUCCCGGUUUAAGCGUGUAGGCUGGUUUUCCAGGCAAAUCCGGAAAAUCAAGGCUGAGGCGUGAUGACGAGGCACUACGGUGCUGAAGCAACAAAUGCCCUGCUUCCAGGAAAAGCCUCUAAGCAUCAGGUAACAUCAAAUCGUACCCCAAACCGACACAGGUGGUCAGGUAGAGAAUACCAAGGCGCUUGAGAGAACUCGGGUGAAGGAACUAGGCAAAAUGGUGCCGUAACUUCGGGAGAAGGCACGCUGAUAUGUAGGUGAAGUCCCUCGCGGAUGGAGCUGAAAUCAGUCGAAGAUACCAGCUGGCUGCAACUGUUUAUUAAAAACACAGCACUGUGCAAACACGAAAGUGGACGUAUACGGUGUGACGCCUGCCCGGUGCCGGAAGGUUAAUUGAUGGGGUCAGCGCAAGCGAAGCUCUUGAUCGAAGCCCCGGUAAACGGCGGCCGUAACUAUAACGGUCCUAAGGUAGCGAAAUUCCUUGUCGGGUAAGUUCCGACCUGCACGAAUGGCGUAAUGAUGGCCAGGCUGUCUCCACCCGAGACUCAGUGAAAUUGAACUCGCUGUGAAGAUGCAGUGUACCCGCGGCAAGACGGAAAGACCCCGUGAACCUUUACUAUAGCUUGACACUGAACAUUGAGCCUUGAUGUGUAGGAUAGGUGGGAGGCUUAGAAGUGUGGACGCCAGUCUGCAUGGAGCCGACCUUGAAAUACCACCCUUUAAUGUUUGAUGUUCUAACGUUGACCCGUAAUCCGGGUUGCGGACAGUGUCUGGUGGGUAGUUUGACUGGGGCGGUCUCCUCCUAAAGAGUAACGGAGGAGCACGAAGGUUGGCUAAUCCUGGUCGGACAUCAGGAGGUUAGUGCAAUGGCAUAAGCCAGCUUGACUGCGAGCGUGACGGCGCGAGCAGGUGCGAAAGCAGGUCAUAGUGAUCCGGUGGUUCUGAAUGGAAGGGCCAUCGCUCAACGGAUAAAAGGUACUCCGGGGAUAACAGGCUGAUACCGCCCAAGAGUUCAUAUCGACGGCGGUGUUUGGCACCUCGAUGUCGGCUCAUCACAUCCUGGGGCUGAAGUAGGUCCCAAGGGUAUGGCUGUUCGCCAUUUAAAGUGGUACGCGAGCUGGGUUUAGAACGUCGUGAGACAGUUCGGUCCCUAUCUGCCGUGGGCGCUGGAGAACUGAGGGGGGCUGCUCCUAGUACGAGAGGACCGGAGUGGACGCAUCACUGGUGUUCGGGUUGUCAUGCCAAUGGCACUGCCCGGUAGCUAAAUGCGGAAGAGAUAAGUGCUGAAAGCAUCUAAGCACGAAACUUGCC